AUUGAACGCUGGCGGCAGGCCUAACACAUGCAAGUCGAACGGUAACAGGAAGAAGCUUGCUUCUUUGCUGACGAGUGGCGGACGGGUGAGUAAUGUCUGGGAAACUGCCUGAUGGAGGGGGAUAACUACUGGAAACGGUAGCUAAUACCGCAUAACGUCGCAAGACCAAAAAAGGGGGACCCUUUCGGGCCUCUUGCCAUCGGAUGUGCCCAGAUGGGAUUAGCUAGUAGGUGGGUAACGGCUCACCUAGGCGACGAUCCCUAGCUGGUCUGAGAGGAUGACCAGCCACACUGGAACUGAGACACGGUCCAGACUCCUACGGGAGGCAGCAGUGGGAAUAUUGCACAAUGGGCGCAAGGCCUGAUGCAGCCAUGCCGCGUGUAUGAAGAAGGCCUU
rnacentral:rRNA from 1 species